rnacentral:tRNA from 1 species
GGGGCUGUGGCUCAGUGGUAGAGCGUUCACCUAGCAUGUGCGAGGCGUUAGGUUCGAUCCUCAGCACCA